GGGCUAUGUCUCUGGGCUGAUAAAUAAUUCCUUACAUGCGAUCAAAACGUUUUAUACAAAGAUAUAAAACGGUAAUCUAUAUGUGAUGGAUCAGCAUGCAUGCAUUGAAAUUUCCAACACGGUUUCCGAGACGUAAUUCAAGAGAUAACUUAUCAUUGCAUUUGAACUAUUGCAUCAGUUGGUGUCAUACUGUGCGAUAAGCGAAUAUUAUUGGAAAGAGGGCUUCUAUAUACGUCGAAAUCACCACGUAUACAGCUCAUGCACACAUUUCUCCACUUCGUGGUAAGUUUACAGAGCAUAUUUUAUACUUUGGGACUGAUCUUUGUCUUUGAUGCGAACAUUUAUCUUAUGUUUAAGGUUAUUUAAGAUUGAUCCUGUCGUAAGUCUUCUACCUGCAACAAUUCGACAAUAUUUUAUUUUAACGCUGUCUUUGCCGUUACGUUUAGAAAGCGUUAUAUGUACUUUCUCAAAAUUGUAUAGACAAGAUAUGUUGUUUAUGUCCGACACGUAUAAGAUUGCAUAACUCAAAAUGAUUCGAGUAAAACCGAUCUUUUUUAAAAAGAAAGAAUGGUUAAUAGGAAUUGGUCCUUUUGAGUGACAUAAUCGUG